ensembl:lincRNA
GCUUAGCUUUGAAAGAAGCGGAGGACUUUUCAUCGGUGCUAAGACAGGGUGAGCAGCAGGCCAGACAUUUGGCAGGAUGCAGUGACUAGAAAGAAGCUGCAGAAGUGCAGCUUUUGAACUUUCUCUUUGUCUAUUUUAACUUUUCCUAAAUGAACCUUGGUUUCAAGAGGAACUAGAAUAAAUCGAUCAAUGUGUAUAAUGAAAAAUAAUGAAAACACUACUUGUCAAGCCAUGUGGAAUAGCUAAAGAAGAAAUGGUGGGAAAUAUAAUAGUCUUAAAUGGUCUAACAGGAAAAUUUAAAAUAUUAUAAAUCAGAAGAUGUUAGUUUUGUCUAAAGAUUUGUCUGUAGAGAACAAAGCAUGGCUAACUGCAGAUGGGAAUGAAUAGUAGUGGACCUGAAUAAUGACAGGCAGCGUUUCAGUAGUCAACCAUUUUAAAGACAGGUGUGUGCUAUAUCCAUUCAGAUUCUUUGUUCCUCACUUCUUUUUCUACAUGUCACUUCAUUUUCUUUAUAUAUAAAUAUGGCCUGCACACGUGGACUUGAGGCAGGGGAAAGAAGAGACAUCCCCCUUUUAAGGUAAAUGGCUGCUCAAUUUUGGAAUCAUAAAUAAUGCCAAAUAAGAAUACAAGACUCUCUCUCCAUAUAUGUGUAUAUAUGUCUGUCUGUCUAAGACUCUCUCUCCAUAUAUGUGUAUAUAUGUCUGUCUGUCUCUGUGUGUGUGCAUGUGAUUUUAUCCUUCAACUCAGCAGCUCAAGACUGCAAGAAUAGCAACUGAAGAAACAUAGAGAAAGUUCAUAAAAGAAAACAAAACAGAAACUGCUGAAGAAGAUUAACAACAUCACAAGUCAGUUCAGGUAAAUGUUAGGGAAAGAGAGAGAGCUAGAAUAGAGAAAUGGUGCAAAUAUACAAAUAUAUAAUGAAAAGGGAAAAUAACUGCCAGUAUGAAAUUGUAAAUUUUCAGGUUAUGAAUCACUAUUUUAAUUAACUUGAAAGCCUACCCGAAUCAGAUAAGUUACAAGAAAAUGUAAAAAUGUAUAGAAAUAGCACAGGGACUUUUUAAAAUUAAAGAGACCACUAAGUAUGCAAGAUUUAUAAUAGAAUUGAUGUAUUGUUCCUCCCAAGUAAUAACAGGUUUGCACAUGCGCAUGUGUACACACACAUACACACUCUUCUCUCUGUCUUUGGUGUUUACUCCCUUGUGUAAGCUCUUCCUUUGGGUGUGGUGCUGGAUCUUUUAACUCUCUACUUUCACAGGCCCACAUGGUUAGAGUCCAUGACCAUCAUGGAAGAGAACAUGGAAACAGGCACAGUGCUUGAACAAUAGGUGAGCAUUUACAUUCAAUCCUCAAGUGCAAGGCAGAGAGAGAGAGAGAGAGAGAGAGAGAGAGAGAGAGAGAGAGAGAGAGAGAGAGAGCUGGGAAUGGUAUUGACUUUUGAAACCUUAAAGCCCACUCCCAGUAACACAUCUCCUUCAAUGAGGCCACACCUCCUAAUCCUUCCCAAACAGUUCUACCAAGUGGGGACUGAGCAUUCAAACAUAUGAGCCUAUGGGUGCCAUUUUCAUUCAAACCAUCACAGUAUCUUCUAAAAAUAUUUCUAAAACUAGACUGAAAAUUUUCAGCUCAUUUAUGAGUUUAUUGCCAAAAUCCCAUCGUGAUGGUGACAAAACUGACCAGAGACAUGCACAUAUCUUAAGUGUACCAUUUGAUGAGUAUUGACUCUCCAUUCACUCACACAAAAAUCUACAUCUAACAUCUUUCUAUCACCCAAGAAAGUUCUCUCAGCUCCCCUUCCAAUCGGUCUUCAUUCUUACAGGAAGUUGCUGUUCCAAUAUUUCUUAGUGCAUAUUAUUUGAAAAUCUGAUCAUGAAAUGAAAUCAUACAAGCAGGUAUUCUUUCAUAUGUGGUUUAUUUUUCUCUAUACUAAUGCUUUUAUCAUUGCUCUGUACUGCUUCACAGAUAAGUAACUUACCAGGUUUUUGUCACUACAUUCUAAAUCCAUUGGUCUAGUUUGUCUUUGGACGGUCACCUGUAUGGUUCCCCUGUUUGGUAAACCAUGAAUACAAACGUCUUACAAUCUUGUACAACUUUUCAUGUAUAUGUGACUGUGUUUAUCUCAAAUAAAUUCCUAAGAGUAAAAUUUAGGGGCUAUAAAGUAAACCUCUAUUGAACUUUGUAAGAAAGUCAAAAAUUCAGUUGUCCAUUAUUGUUAAACUAUUUAUUUGAAGCAGUAAAGUAGGAGAGAUUCACACUUCACAUUCCCACCAGUGUUUAGUGCUGUCAGACUGUGAGUUUGCUGCCAUGAACAUGUAAACUGAGCCCUCCUUUGGGAAAAGAAGAAAGGCCCGCACUCCUUGUGACCAGAAGUUUUCUGUUCCAUGGAUAGGAACGGAGCCCCCUUCAGCAUGGCUGCUAUGUCCUGUGAGUUAUUGCCAGGCUUAGUGGCUGGAAUCUUGCUGCUAAAAGUUGAGGAAAGGGCACAGACCAAUGAGCUAGAGAGCCACAGGUUCAAUAGGCCAAUGUCUCAGCUCUACAGAAUUCUCACUGCAGACCUCAACUCUCCAGAGACAGAAGGACAAUCUGUGGAACAGGAGACUGAGAGGUCCUGUUAGCCACCUCAGGAGCAGUGGUUCUCAACCUUCCUAAUGUUAUAACCCUUUAAUACAGUUCUUCAUCUGUGGUGAUCCCCAAACAUAAAAUGUUUCAUCGCUACUUUAUAACUACAUUUUGCUACUGUUAUGAAUCAUAAUGUAAAUAUCUGAUAUGUGACAACCAAAAGGUCAUGAGACACAGGGUGAGAAUCACUGUUCUAGAGGGACAGAAGGAGGAAAAAUAAAAUAUAUUAGUAUUGGCGUUGUCAAUUUUCUUCCUGUGCCGCAGACCCUCUGGGUCCCUGUGUCUGCGUGGAACAGGGUCUCUCGACGCGGGUGGGCAAAGCGUGUAUGAAUGACAGACAGAUGCACACAGGAGAGGUUGUGUGUAGAAUCUGAAUGUAAUUUACAAUUCGAGCUUCAGACUUUUAUACAGAAGACAAUAAAAAAGUCGGGUGACAUACCCACAAGGUACAAAUGAGGUAACCGGAUGCUUAAUGAUUCUUACACAGAACAGAGGAAUGAAAACGCAAAGAUCAGAAGGAACUGGGCAAUAAAAUAAUUGANNNNNNNNNNNNNNNNNNNNNNNNNUCACACCCAAGUCAUGGUUCUAACUAGGGAGUUUCAUUCUAGCUAACCAUCUCAUGAAUAAUGCAAUACUCUAAAACCACAGCCCGAUCUGCUUCCUAAACCAUAGUAAAUUCCUGUACAUAGGUGUAACUCAGUUAUAAUUCUAAGCAUCUAUUCUGGUUUCCCCUACGGUCAGAAAUUUCUUUCUUCCUAGGUGAUGGUAGAUUCCUGUGAAGGGCAGUGACCUAACUUUUACUCAAAGAGAUAGUGUAAUACCAGGGGCAGUACUGAAUUCCAAACCCAAGGUCUUGCNNNNNNNNNNNNNNNNNNNNNNNNNNNNNNUGUUGGAACACUGGCGGACGGCUUUAGCUAUGUCAGAAUUCAAUCUUAAAAGGCACUUAUGAUAGGAAAAUAUUGAAAGAGAGCGCAUGGAUCCAUACACUAGACUAA